rnacentral:rRNA from 1 species
UACGGGGGGGGCAAGCGUUGUUCGGAAUUACUGGGCGUAAAGGGCGCGUAGGCGGCCUUCUAAGUCGGACGUGAAAUCCCUCGGCUUAACCGAGGAACUGCGUCCGAUACUGAAAGGCUUGAAUCCGGGAGAGGGAUGUGGAAUUCCAGGUGUAGCGGUGAAAUGCGUAGAUAUCUGGAGGAACACCGGUGGCGAAGGCGGCAUCCUGGACCAACACUGACGCUGAGUGAGCGAAAGCCAGGGGAGCAAACGGG